UACGGAGGGUGCAAGCGUUAUCCGGAUUCACUGGGUUUAAAGGGUGUGUAGGCGGGUACCUAAGUCAGUGGUGAAAUCUCCGGGCUCAACCCGGAAACUGCCAUUGAUACUAUGUGUCUUGAAUUUUGUUGAGGAGGGCGGAAUAUGUCAUGUAGCGGUGAAAUGCUUAGAUAUGACAUAGAACACCGAUUGCGAAGGCAGCUCUCUAAGCAAACAUUGACGCUGAGGCACGAAAGCGUGGGGAUCAAACAGG
rnacentral:rRNA from 1 species